rnacentral:rRNA from 1 species
AUUGGAGAGUUUGAUCCUGGCUCAGGACGAACGCUGGCGGCGUGCCUAACACAUGUAAGUCGAACGGGACUCGGGGGGCAACUCUCGAGUUCAGUGGCAGACGGGUGCGUAACACGUGAGAAACUUGUCCAUCGGUGGGGGAUAGCCGGCCCAACGGCCGGUUAAUACCGCGUACGAUCGUUUGGGGACAUCCCUGAAUGAUGAAAGCAUCGCAAGAUGCGCCGGCGGAGAGUCUCGCGGCCUAUCAGCUAGUUGGCGGGGUAACGGCCCACCAAGGCGACGACGGGUAGCUGGUCUGAGAGGAUGGCCAGCCACAUUGGGACUGAGACACGGCCCAGACUCCUACGGGAGGCAGCAGUGGGGAAUCUUGCGCAAUGGCCGCAAGGCUGACGCAGCGACGCCGCGUGUGGGAUGACGGCCUUCGGGUUGU